rnacentral:rRNA from 1 species
UAGGGAAUCUUACGCAAUGGGCGAAAGCCUGACGGAGCAACGCCGCGUGAGUGAUGAAGGUCUUCGGAUCGUAAAACUCUGUUAUUAGGGAAGAACAAAUGUGUAAGUAACUAUGCACGUCUUGACGGUACCUAAUCAGAAAGCCACGGCUAACUACGUGCCAGCAGCCGCGGUAAUACGUAGGUGGCAAGCGUUAUCCGGAAUUAUUGGGCGUAAAGCGCGCGUAGGCGGUUUUUUAAGUCUGAUGUGAAAGCCCACGGCUCAACCGUGGAGGGUCAUUGGAAACUGGAAAACUUGAGUGCAGAAGAGGAAAGUGGAAUUCCAUGUGUAGCGGUGAAAUGCGCAGAGAUAUGGAGUAACACCAGUGGCGAAGGCGACUUUCUGGUCUGUAACUGACGCUGAUGUGCGAAAGCGUGGGGAUCAAACAGG